rnacentral:rRNA from 1 species
CUACGGGCGGCUCCAGUGGGGAAUAUUGCACAAUGGGCGCAAGCCUGAUGCAGCCAUGCCGCGUGUAUGAAGAAGGCCUUCGGGUUGUAAAGUACUUUCAGCGGGGAGGAAGGGAGUAAAGUUAAUACCUUUGCUCAUUGACGUUACCCGCAGAAGAAGCACCGGCUAACUCCGUGCCAGCAGCCGCGGUAAUACGUGAGGGUGCAAGCGUUAAUCGGAAUUACUGGGCGUAAAGCGCACGCAGGCGGUUUGUUAAGUCAGAUGUGAAAUCCCCGGGCUCAACCUGGGAACUGCAUCUGAUACUGGCAAGCUUGAGUCUCGUAGAGGGGGGUAGAAUUCCAGGUGUAGCGGUGAAAUGCGUAGAGAUCUGGAGGAAUACCGGUGGCGAAGGCGGCCCCCUGGACGAAGACUGACGCUCAGGUGCGAAAGCGUGGGGAGCAAACAGGAUUAGAUACCCGAGUAGUC